rnacentral:lncRNA from 1 species
AUGUAUUUAAUCACCACGAGGUUUAACUUACUUUUUAGGUCAACAGUAUGCAACAUGGCAUACAUUGCACAACAUAUGCCAAAACUACAAUUUUUUCUUUCAGGCCAACUGUCCUGUAAACGGAGGAUUACUCUGCUGUAGUGUUCAUACAUCAGGGCAAUUCUUGAUAAGCAGGCAACCAAGAAGACAACCCCUAAAAUGAGCACAGUACAUCAGAGAUAACUUUCAUGACUGAGCCUACUCAAAAGGAAGCAUCCGCUAUUGCUUUUAAAAAUCUUAACUUAAUCCACUUCCUUCUCAGUGCUCCCAUUCUUUGCAAUUUAUUAGAAGGUAAUACAACACCAUUUCAUUCUACAUUUAAAUUUUAGAGAAUAAACCCUAAGGCAUUUUUAUUC